rnacentral:rRNA from 1 species
AUUGAACGCUGGCGGCAUGCUUUACACAUGCAAGUCGAACGGUAACAGGCCGCAAGGUGCUGACGAGUGGCGAACGGGUGAGUAAUGCAUCGGAACGUGCCCAGUCGUGGGGGAUAACUACUCGAAAGAGUAGCUAAUACCGCAUACGAUCUAUGGAUGAAAGCGGGGGACCGUAAGGCCUCGCGCGAUUGGAGCGGCCGAUGUCAGAUUAGGUAGUUGGUGGGGUAAAGGCUCACCAAGCCAACGAUCUGUAGCUGGUCUGAGAGGACGACCAGCCACACUGGGACUGAGACACGGCCCAGACUCCUACGGGAGGCAGCAGUGGGGAAUUUUGGACAAUGGGCGCAAGCCUGAUCCAGCAAUGCCGCGUGCAGGAAGAAGGCCUUCGGGUUGUAAACUGCUUUUGUACGGAACGAAACGGCUCUGGUUAAUACCCGGGGAUAAUGACGGUACCGGAAGAAUAAGCACCGGCUAACUACGUG